rnacentral:rRNA from 1 species
UCUUCCGCAAUGGACGAAAGUCUGACGGAGUAACGCCGCGUGAGUGAUGAAGGUUUUCGGAUCGUAAAGCUCUGUUGUUAGGGAAGAACNAGUGCCGUUCAAAUAGGGCGGCACCUUGACGGUACCUAACCAGAACGCCCCCGCUCACUCCGUGCCAGCAGCGGCGGUAAUACGUAGGUGGCAAGCGUUGUCCGGAAUUAUUGGGCGUAAAGGGCUCGCAGGCGGUUUCUUAAGUCUGAUGUGAAAGCCCCCGGCUCAACCGGGGAGGGUCAUUGGAAACUGGGGAACUUGAGUGCAGAAGAGGAGAGUGGAAUUCCACGUGUAGCGGUGAAAUGCGUAGAGAUGUGGAGGAACACCAGUGGCGAAGGCGACUCUCUGGUCUGUAACUGACGCUGAGGAGCGAAAGCGUGGGGAGCGAACAG